GUUGGGUCAUGAUAUUUCUUCUAUUUUGGGCCAGGUAUAUUGGGCCCAUUUAUCAGUUUAAUCUGUUGGGCUUUUAUAAUUAAGCCAUGGGGCUCUUUGAGCCCAUUUAUUGUGUCAACUUUAUUUAAUCCUAUUGGACCGGGUCGGAUCGUUGGAUUAACCCAUUGGGUCAUUUAAUAUCUAUUACUUUGACUUGUAAUGAUGAUAUAGUAUGACAGUUGACCAAGAUAUCUGCCAUGCAUUAAUGUGGAUGGGAUUAUAGCCGGCCGGCGGUGCAAACAGUGACCAGGAGCAGUGGAUAAACUCCAUGUAGUCGGCAAAACCCAUCAGAUUAGGGGGAUAUGUCAGAUGGUAGUGGGUGGCACAGUAAUCCAGGCGAAGAUAUUAUUUCUUAGUGAGUAAGUCUUCAGAAGGAGGUAUGUUUUAUUCAUAUAUACACAUUCACACAACAGAUAGAAUAAUCACUCUCAAUACACUAAAUUCUAUUAUCCUCUUGAGUUAACUUUGUGAACAGACAUACUUAUUCUCACGCCUGAGCUAUCCCCCGGCGGUCCGGCCGUCAAGCUUGUGGUGUUUGUCGUGUUUACUAUGCAGGAUCAGGACGUCUUUCGUGAUUGGGACGUGGAGAAAGAUCUUGGCGUUAACAUUGGCGCUAGAAGGAGGGCUGUUUUAGUGUCUUGAGUAUUUUUCAAUCACAGAGUGUGUUUAUUCUAUUCAUUUUUCAUGGGAAAGAGUAGAACACCUACACCCGAAGGACAGCCGAUGUCUGUCAGUGAGUCAUUACCGCGAGUAUCCGCCAAGGAUCGUUUGGGACCAACCAUAAAUGUGCAUGCUAGCACGGCGUCUAAACGGUCACCUGAACAUUCUCGACCGAAGGCAGUAGGCAAAGCAAAGCGUAA
rnacentral:lncRNA from 1 species